GAGUUUGAUCCUGGCUCAGGAUGAACGCUGGCGGCAUGCUUUACACAUGCAAGUUGAACGAAUUAAAGUUUUCGAAUUUUAGUUAAGUAGCGAACGGGUGAGUAAAACGUAAGAAUCUAUUUUUAGGUGAGGAAUAACUAAUGGAAACGUUAGCUAAUACCUUAUAAACUGAGAAGUGAAAAACUAAAAAUUGCCUAAAAGUGAGCUUGCGCCUGAUUAGCUUGUUGGUAAGAUAAUCGCUUACCAAAGCGACGAUCAGUAGUUGAUCUAAGAGGAUAAUCAACCACACUGGGACUGAGAUACGGCCCAGACCUCUACGGAGGGCAGCAGUGAGGAAUUUUCCGCAAUGGGCGAAAGCCUGACGGAGCAAUGCCGCGUGAAGGAUGAAGGCCUAUGGGUCGUAAACUUCUUUUCUUAAUGAAGAAAUAAGACGGUAAUUAAGGAAUAAGCAUCGGCUAACUCCGUGCCAGCAGCCGCGGUAAUACGGAGGAUGCAAGCGUUAUCCGGAAUUAUUGGGCGUAAAGGGUUUGUAGGCUACUUUUUAAGUCUACUGUUAAAGAAUAAGACUUAACCUUAGAAAAGCAGUAUGAAACUAAAAGGAUAGAGUUCAGUAGGGGUAGAGGGAAUUCUCGGUGUAGUAGUGAAAUGCGUAGAUAUCGAGAGGAACACCAAUAGCGAAAGCACUCUACUAGGCUGUAACUGACGCUAAGAAACGAAAGCUAGGGGAGCCAAUGGGAUUAGAUACCCCAGUAGUCCUAGCUGUAAACGAUGGAUACUAAGUAUUGGAUAAUAAAAAAUUCAGUGCUGUAGCUAACGCGUUAAGUAUCCCGCCUGGGGAGUAUGCCCGCAAGGGUGAAACUCAAAGGAAUUGACGGGGGCCCGCACAAGCGGUGGAGCAUGUGGUUUAAUUCGAUGCACGCGAAAAACCUUACCAGGAUUUGACAUCCCAUAUU
rnacentral:rRNA from 1 species